GGGCCCGCACAAGCGGUGGAACAUGUGGUUUAAUUCGACGCAACGCGAAGAACCUUACCUGGGUUUGACAUCCCCGGCCGACACCAGAGAUGGUGUUUUCUCUUCGGAGACCGGGUGACAGGUGCUGCAUGGCUGUCGUCAGCUCGUGUCGUGAGAUGUUGGGUUAAGUCCCGCAACGAGCGCAACCCUUGCCCUCAGUUGCCAGCAGUUCGGCUGGGCACUCUGGGGGGACUGCCGGUGACAAGCCGGAGGAAGGUGGGGAUGACGUCAAGUCCUCAUGGCCUUUAUAUCCAGGGCUACACACGUGCUACAAUGGUAGGUACAGAGGGCAGCUACACAGCGAUGUGAUGCGAAUCUCAAAAAGCCUAUCGUAGUCCAGAUUGGAGUCUGCAACUCGACUCCAUGAAGUAGGAAUCGCUAGUAAUCGCGGAUC
rnacentral:rRNA from 1 species